rnacentral:rRNA from 1 species
GUGGGGAAUAUUGCACAAUGGGCGCAAGCCUGAUGCAGCAACGCCGCGUGGGGGAUGACGGCCUUCGGGUUGUAAACCUCUUUUAGUAGGGAAGAAGCGAAAGUGACGGUACCUGCAGAAAAAGCACCGGCUAACUACGUGCCAGCAGCCGCGGUAAUACGUAGGGUGCAAGCGUUGUCCGGAAUUAUUGGGCGUAAAGAGCUCGUAGGCGGUUUGUCGCGUCUGCUGUGAAAUCCCGAGGCUCAACCUCGGGCCUGCAGUGGGUACGGGCAGACUAGAGUGCGGUAGGGGAGAUUGGAAUUCCUGGUGUAGCGGUGGAAUGCGCAGAUAUCAGGAGGAACACCGAUGGCGAAGGCAGAUCUCUGGGCCGCUACUGACGCUGAGGAGCGAAAGCAUGGGGAGCGAACAGGAUUAGAUACCCCAGUAGUCC